rnacentral:piRNA from 1 species
UACCUUGAGUUAUGGUAGAGAUGGCAGA